ensembl:lncRNA
CACAAACACAUAUAACCAACCUAAAAUCAUGCCUCAUGUGCUGACUGAUUGAACAGCUUUGCAAGUGGUAUAUCCUGCAUUUGCUCCGGACCCAGCUGGGCCUUUGAGGCCAUGUUAACACUGAACAACCCCCAAAAGGGGACUCAGAAGGAACUGGGACAGGGGAUGAGCCAAGUUUGUACCUGUUCACAACCUGCCAUUUCUUGUCAGCUUGGCUGACUUCCUGCCGUAAUGUGUGCCUGGGUUCCUCCAGUGGGACCUGGUUGGAGAGCUGGCUCUGUACGCCCACGUGUCCUUCCCAGAGGAAUCACAUGUGGGGUGCAAAAAGAUAAAGCUCAUCUCGUCAGCCUGAGGAUGGACCCCGGAAGCGAUCUGCAUCCCAGCUGCACUAUUGACCAUUGGAAUCAAAUUCCUUUUAUGAAAGAGAACUACAAUUUCUGAAUUUUCUACUGGAAUGAAAAAAC